ACGGGUGAGUAACGCGUGGGUAACCUACCCUGUACACACGGAUAACAUACCGAAAGGUAUGCUAAUACGGGAUAAUAUAUUUGAGAGGCAUCUCUUAAAUAUCAAAGGUGAGCCAGUACAGGAUGGACCCGCGUCUGAUUAGCUAGUUGGUAAGGUAACGGCUUACCAAGGCGACGAUCAGUAGCCGACCUGAGAGGGUGAUCGGCCACAUUGGAACUGAGACACGGUCCAAACUCCUACGGGAGGCAGCAGUGGGGAAUAUUGCACAAUGGGCGAAAGCCUGAUGCAGCAACGCCGCGUGAGUGAUGAAGGCCUUCGGGUCGUAAAAUUCUGUCCUCAAGGAAGAUAAUGACGGUACUUGAGGAGGAAGCCCCGGCUAACUACGUGCCAGCAGCCGCGGUAAUACGUAGGGGGCUAGCGUUAUCCGGAUUUACUGGGCGUAAAGGGUGCGUAGGCGGUCUUUCAAGUCAGGAGUGAAAGGCUACGGCUCAACCGUAGUAAGCUCUUGAAACUGGGAGACUUGAGUGCAGGAGAGGAGAGUGGAAUUCCUAGUGUAGCGGUGAAAUGCGUAGAUAUUAGGAGGAACACCAGUUGCGAAGGCGGCUCUCUGGACUGUAACUGACGCUGAGGCACGAAAGCGUGGGGAGCAAACAGGAUUAGAUACCCUGGUAGUCCACGCUGUAAACGAUGAGUACUAGGUGUCGGGGGUUACCCCCCUCGGUGCCGCAGCUAACG
rnacentral:rRNA from 1 species